rnacentral:lncRNA from 1 species
ACAGUCAUCUUACCCACCUUGUGUCCGCUCACCACCACCUCCGCCUCCAAAUUCUCCACCACCACCCCUAUUCUCACCCCCUCCACCUAUUCCCUACUAUUAUAAUUCACCACCACCGCCUCCACCACACUCGCCACCUAAACCACCUAAUUCACCACCUCCACCGCCAGUUUAUUUCUACUCAUCACCACCACCUCCUGUCCAUUCUCCACCUCCUCCAACCCAAUAUUCUCCACCAUCACCACCUCCUUGUAUAGAACCACCACCGCCUCCACCUCCGUGUGUUGAGUACUCACCACCACCGCCGCCACCUUCACCAGUUCCUUACCAUCCACCUCAAUCACCAUCAUCCCCUCCCCCACCUGUUCACAAAUCCCCUCCCCCGCCACCCCCAAUAUACCCAUCUCCACCUCCACCAGUUCAUUAUUACUCUCCCCCUCCACCGUCACCACCACCACCACCACCACCACCACCACCGCCACCUCCGGUUUAUGAAGGUCCAUUGCCUCCAAUCUUUGGGGUUUCAUAUGCUUCUCCACCACCACCUCCGUUGUAUUGAUUCUUUUAGAGAAUUUUCCUCUGACCUUUCCUCCCUCCCGAACACAAACACAAUACACAAACAAACAGCGAAAACCUACAAAUUAAUUAGUACAUUAUUAUUAUUAUUAUCUGUCAUUGCUUCUUCAUCUUUCAGUUGUCAGUUGGACAUCUUUAUUUCCCCUUUGGAAAUUCUCAUCACCGGGAUGAGAUGAACAUGAAACGAGAGAUAUCCCAUUUGAAUUCUUUUGAACAAGAAGAAUAAACAGAGAAAGAGUGGAGGUAAGAGGAGAAAGUGUCUCCAAUAUGGUGUAAUAUAAUUUGUUGGAAAUUGUAAUGAUAAAUUUGAGUUGUGAAAUAAAUUGGCAGAGAUCGAUGAAAAGAGUAGGUUGCAGGGAAAGUGUAUGUAUAGAAAAAGCCAGUAGCUGCUUCUGGUUUGUUAUUUUUUCUUUACUACUAGUAUCAUACUACUUUUGUUUGAAAUUUAAUUUAAUUUUUUAUUUUUUUGGUUUGAAAUUUAUACUAGUAGUAGUAGUAGUAG